rnacentral:lncRNA from 1 species
GAAAUCAACGACCCUCGAUCCAUUUGAGAGAUAUCUCGAGGAGGAGAGUCCCCUUUUUGUUUGUAAAGCUCAUUCAACAUGCCUCUCAGCAACCCUUCUAUAUAGUAUGAUUGUGACACUGUGAUCCAUACUCGACAGUCAAAGUGUCUCACUACCUCUUUGAUGUCAAAAACUUUUUUGGCAAGAGUAGUUUUUCCUAUCCCUCCCAUACCUACCACAGAGAUGACAGUGCGCUCAAAUCUUCCCUCUAUCAACCAUCCAAUCAAUCUAUUUUUGGGUGCUUGAAAGCCUACAAUUUCAGCUUCAUCAAUGUACAAAGUAGCCAUUCGAGGAUCGUGCCAUUUGGCAUUUUUGCUUCCUCUAAAGCUCGUCGAUCCUUGUUCAGUAAAAGCUUGGAACCCAUAUCUUUUGCUUCUUUCCUUGAUCACACGAACAUAUGACUUAAUGACUUGAAUCUCAGAUGCUAUUUGAUGACGAGUGGUAAUAACUUUGAGUGAGUGAACAAUUUUACGGAGUAAAGCUACACAUCCAGGAUCACGAGGUUGCUGUCUCACUUGGAUCAGAUAAUCAUCAAUGACAUCUUCAAUACGGAACGCUGCUUCUCGAACCUGCCUCACCCAUGUUUUGACUCCUUCAUUAGUGUUGUCUCCUUCAUCUGUUGCAACUCUUUUAUCGGCAUCCUUAAGAAAGGCUUGAAUGCUUUCAAGUUCAUCUUUAAUGUCUGCAAAUUCUUUGUGAAUACCUCCCAACAGCAUGGCUUCUACCCUUAAUGGUGGAAUCAGUUGGUCAAGAACUAAGGCCACUGUCAUUUCUGCCAUUUUUGUUAAGCUUGUGGGUUGUGGCUAUUUCUUUUUAAUUUGCUAUAUAUAUAUGUGAAGACUACACGGUUUUGCAAUUUCUACACGAAGGAAGAAAGAAAGUAAGAAGGCAAUUCCAUGCUAUCCACACACUGGGAAUCCGUAAAGCGUGUCUUUUGGAUAAAUUAUUACUAGUAAAUUUCAACACAACGACUAUUUCCAAUGAAUACGGAAUAGUACGUAAGUCAAUAAUGGUCUGAAAAAUGCUUUCAAUUUUCAACUGCCAUGUAAUUUUAUUUUCAACUACCAUCUACCCGUAAAAAAAAACAGUACCAUCUACCCGUAUACUAUAUUUAUUUUUUUUAACUAUAGAGGUGACAAUCGAUCUUAUGUAUACUAUUCAAAUAUCUCAUCAGUAAAACAAACCUACUUACUUUGUUUGAUAUGGUUUGUUAAUUAUUAUUUAUUUUCUGAUCAUACAUUUUAACCAAUAUAUGUGUAUAAUAUAUAUUUUUCACUUUGGGUUUAUAAUAAUAAAAAAAAAAAAGUAGAUUACACUCCCUCUCUUUUAAAAGAAAUUUGAAAUACACUUCUCUCUUCUUUUAUAUUAAAAUAUACACUUUAGUCCAUUUUAACAUAAAUUAAUUAAUAUUUCUGUGAUAAUAAUUAACUUUUUUUUUUUACUAAAAUAAAAGAUAUUCAAUGGCGAUCGUUGGAUGAUCUAUGAUUACUAUCUUGCCUUUUGCCAAUGUUCCCCAUCUUUCAACACAGCAACCACAAAAAUCGAUAAGACCAUGGUAUGGAUUAGAGUUCCAAGUUUGAAUCUUGCUCGAGGACGUUUUGCUAGAAUUUGUGUCGAGGUGGGUCUCACUAUGCCAGUGUUGGUGUGUUGGAAUUGACGGAGAAUGGUAUCAAGUACAGUACGAAGGCCUCCAUAUAAUUUGCACACAAUGUGGCUGCUAGGUCAUGUGCUUAAGGACUGUACUAUUAAAAUGAAGAAUGUUCCAAUGGUGGAGAGCGAAAAAUCGCCGGAAUCGCAUGACAGCGAAGGAAUUCAGAAGGGAAUGGAUUAAGGUUGAAAGGAGAAAAAAAAGCAACAAAAAUAGUAUCAACAAAUUUGGUGGAAUAUUCAAAGAUCUUAAAGGCCAUAAUCAACAUGCUAAAGAAAGAAGAUGUGAAUGAGGCAAGUGGUAGUCAUGCACAUGAUAAUAGUGGUGGAAAAAAGAAACGUGUGUGAAAUGAUUCUGGUGGGAAAAGUAACAUGAAGACUAAUGGUAAUCAAAAUAACCAUAGUCCCUCAUAUGUGAUACACACGGGGGGUCACGAUGGGGAAAGGAAAAAAUAAGCCCCCUAAAAAACAUGUGGGGCCCAACAAACCUCUUGUGAAAGUUGGACUAAAGCCAAACACUAAUAUAGUUCUCAAGAAGUGCCGGUUGAUACGAUGCAUGAACAAAAGGUAGACGGACAAUAAGUUGCGCCGUUAAAUCCAAUCUUUGAAAAACUACAUUCAUAGACCUAGGUGACACAACAUUACUAUGCAUGACCUUUUAAACUCUUUUUAAAAGGUUUACAGCCUCUAGUGCUAAAGCCAAAAAUAUCGAAUGAUUCUGAUUUUCUUCAAGAAGCUUCUUUUUAUUGCUUGCAGAUGUGACUUUGGUUUGGAAAUUGAAAUGGGUUGACAUGGUGUUACACCUUCUUUGAUAAGGUUGGUGCUUCGUGCCGAAGCAAAGAUGCAGAAAGUCCUGAUAAAAUGUUUGCUAGCUGUUGUUAAUUUUUGCAGUACAAGUAGGACAGUUGUCGCAGCUAAUGGUGGGUUAGAAAUUAUCAUAAGGUUGUUGAAUUCUUGUAAUAACGAUGUUAGAUUGUAUUUGUUAAAUAUUUUGAGUGUGUUGGCGCUUCUGAUCAGAGAGGUUAGGAAGGAACUCAAUAGAUCAGGAGCCCAUUGUUUUAUUUAUAGAGGCUGCUGGUGUUGGCAGCAAGAUUUCUAGGGGAAGGACGUGUCAAUCGAUUGGUUUUUUUGGUGUUACGAGACAAGCUAGGUACGCUUGUUGAAUUGCGAGUCAUACCGGUGCUUGUGGAGUUGUUUCGCAAUGGAGAUAACCCCAUGAUACUUGUGGCUGGUAAUACUCUUGGUGUGGUUUCGGCUCAUGUUGAAUACAUUAGACUGGUUACUGAAGCUGGGGCUAUACAUCUUUAUGCCUACCUUCUUCAAGGACAUGAUGCUUUUGGUAAGGAGAUAGUGGAGGAUGUGUUUUGUAUAUUGGCUGUUGCAGAGGCGAAUGUGAUUGAAAUUGUUGGUCACUUGGUGAGAAUUCUUACAGAAGGUGAUGAUGAAGCUAAAGCAGCAGGUGCUAAUGUGAUAUGGGAUCUGUCAGGAUACAUGAACGCAACUUCAGUGAUUCGAGAUUCAGUUGUGAUCACUAUCCUUGUUGAGCUUUUGAGCCAUGGGAGUGAAGAAGUAAACGAAAAUGUUUCUGGGGCAUUUGCUCAGCUGAGUUAUAUUGAAGGUGGAUGAAUGGCCCUUGUUGAUGCUGGUGCAGUACCGAUUUUCAUUGACUUGCUACAUGACGAGACCGAGGAACUAAGGGAUAAUGAUGUUGAGAUUCUUUAUAAUUUUUAUGAAGAUCCAUUGUACCAUGCUAGAAUAUCUGGUAUAGUGAAUGUUCCUUCUUUCAGAAAUAUGCAAAACAGACUAUACUAACUAGUAUUCGUGCAUCGAAGGAGCAUAUGACUAAUCUUAAUGUAGAACGAUUGAGCAUAUGACAUCCCGUUAGCGCCUCUGCUCACAUUCAGAUUGCUCAACUUUAACCAAAUAUUAUUAAAAUAAAAAAGAAAAAGCUUGGGGGACUAGACCAAAACCCAAAAUAACAACAAUGCAUACUAAAAUAAUUGGUCAACUGCCUCAUUAAAAACCUCAUCAAGGAAAACCCAGUGGGAUAAAACCUUGAUGUAGGAAAAAAGAGUGCAGUUUGAAUAUAAUAAAUAAUUAUCUCUUACAAUUCUCGAAAGGAAAGCUCUCACAACAUCUUACAUACAUGAUACAUCACAAACAACUCAAAUGUCCAACAAAGAAACAAAAACAUAAAUAAAGAUGCCAUUAUUGUAGAAGUCCACUUGGAGAAAUCUGAAUUUCCAUCGCACUAGAAGCCAACCACCUAAAGAUUAAUAACAAAUUAUUACUAAAGAUCAUUGAGGAGAGAAUGGAAAUGAUUACAACAAAAUAGUUCUUGAGGGUCACAACACAAUAAAAAUAAUAUGAUAAUUAUUGAUGAAGAAUUCAAAAAUNNNNNNNNNNNNNNNNNNNNNNNNNNNNNNNNNGAAUGAUUAUAGAACAAAAAAUAUUACCAAGAAUAUAUUUAUUCAAUUAUAUGGAAUAAAACGAUCACCUUUUCUCCCCCCUUGAAGUUGGAUGGCUUAUGAUUUCUAACUCCUUAAAGUUUAGGAUAAAGUUCUUCAUGUGGCACAUGUGGAACAUUGAGAACUUGAAGUUUUUCUAAGUGUUGGAUGCCAGCAGGAACAGUCUUGAGGUUGGGGAUAUCGUAUAACUUGAACUUUUUUAGAGAUUGCAAUGCUCCUUUUUCAAUUACAAUUGAAUACAAGUUAGUCAAACCAAUGAGGUGUAGUUCCUUUAGAUUUUGAAACCCUCCAUCAUGAAAAUGUAAACUUUCACCUUUAUAAGCAUCUUUGAUGAUUGAAAGGGACAACAAGUUUUGCAUGUUUUCUAACAACUUUAUUGGAUCAUCAAUUAACUGGGAAUAUUCUAACUUCAACUUAACAAGAUUUUGAAGUUGAAGAAUCCAUUCUGGAAACUUCUUCAACAUUCCUAUUAGUUUAAGAGUUCGAAGCUUAGAUGGAGGUGGAUUCAAAUGCAAAUCAGUUAAAUCAUAACAAUUUUUUGUAAAGGUUAUUGCCAGAAUGCUUAGAUUCUCCAAAUGUUGCAUCUCAUUCAAUGAAGAAGAUAAAGUGCUUAUAUGGUCUUCCAUCACAUUAAACAAGCUCAAUUUCCUUAACUGCCUUAGCUUUCCCAGCUCUUUAAUUAUCUUUAUUCCAUCAUCACCAUCUUCAAUAUCCACACUACUCAGAGUUUGUAGGGAUUCCAUGCCUCCUAUACGACCCUUCAAUUUAAACAAAGACAUUCUGGAGCCCAAAAGAUGUUGUAACUUUCUAAGCUUGCUAACCUCCUUUGGUAUUUUAUAUAAUGGGCAAUGUCUCAGAUCCAAAGUCUCCAGGUUUUGGAGCAUGGAAAUUGAUUUGGGAAGUUUAAUAUAACUCAGAGGAUAAACAUUAUUGAAUCUUAAAUACUUCAAGUGAAUCAAGCUUCCCAAAUUUUCACGAAGGAUAUUACUCAAUCUAACAUUAGAGAAAACAUCAAACUCAAGCACCUUCAAGCGCCUACAUUCUCUAAAGAUUCUCCUAAUAAAAGCUUUGCUCAAAUGUUGUGAAUUAUCUGCGAAAAUAAAUAGUGAUCGAACACGUGAGUUUUCAAUACGUUUCAUAAAAUCAUCGGAAUGGGUUGUUAUUGAUAGGCGCCGGAUACUUCCAGAUAAAGAUGAAUGACCAUUUCCACUGAUAUUCUUGCAGAAACUUAAAUCUUCACACUUUUCAAGAAUCAUCUCACGUGUUAGAUCAUGAACACAACAACUUUUAGCUUUUCCAUCAAAUCUAACAGAAGAUACUUGCACCAAACUUCUAUGGAUUAACUCUGUUAAAUAUCCUUCUGCCACUUCUUCCAAAGUAUUCCCACUUUCUUCUUUCACAAAUCCUUCAGCUAUCCACUGCCGAAUUAGUCUCCUUGAUUUAACUUCAUAAUCUUCAGGAUAUAUUCCAAAAUACAACAAACAUGACUUAAGAUGAAAAGGCAAAUCAUCGUAGCUGAAAGCUAAAAUUUGGUUUAUCCCGGUCAAAUGGGAAUCCCUCUUUAGCUCUAAAGGCAAUUUAUCACAAAAUUUCUGCCACUCAAGUAAGCUUUUCUCUUUUGUAGACAAUAGACCGCCAAUGGCAACAAUUGCCAGCGGUAAACCUUUGCAUUUGUUUGCAAUUUUUAAAGAUAUCUCUUUGAGCUCAUCUGGAAUGUCUUUUUUUUGGAAUGUCUUCUUUUUGAACAACUCAAAUGAUUGAACUUCCGAUAAAGGUUGCAGAUCAUGCACUUUAACAACAGAUGAUUUCAGACAAUUUGUGGCAACUUCCAUAUUUCUCGUUGUAAUAAAUAUCUUGCUCCCCAUUUUAUUAUCAAUACAUGCAUUUUGAAUCUCAUUCCAAAAAUGUAUGUUCCACACAUCAUCAAACACAAAAACAUACCUCUUUUGUUGCAAGUAGUUUCUUAGCAUAGAAAUCAACGACUCUCGAUCCAUUUGAGAGAUAUCUUGAGGAGGAGUGUCCCCUUCUUGUUUGCAAAGCUCAUUCAACAUGCUUCUCAGCAACCCUUCUAUAUAGUAUGAUUGUGACACUGUGAUCCAUACACGAUAGUCAAAGUCUCCCACUAACUUUUUGUUGUCAAAAACUUUUUUUGCAAGAGUGGUUUUUCCUUGUCCUCCCAUACCUACCACAGCG